rnacentral:rRNA from 1 species
AAACGCUGGCGGCGGGCUUACACAUGCAGUCGAACGAGAAAGGUCUUCGGAACUGAGUAAGUGGCGCACGGGUGAGUACGCGUAGGCAACCUACCCCUAGAAUUGGAAUAACUCCGGGAAACCGAAGCUAAUACCGAAUAACAUCUUUUGAUCGCAUGGUCGAAAGAUCAAAACUCCGGUGUCUAGGGAUGGGCCUGCGUAGGAUUAGGUAGUUGGUGAGGUAACGGCUCACCAAGCCGACGAUCCUUAGCUGGUCUGAGAGGAUGAUCAGCCACACUGGCACUGAGACACGGGCCAGACUCCUACAGGAGGCAGCAGUGAGGAAUAUUGCGCAAUGGAGGAAACUCUGACGCAGCCACGCCGCGUGGUGGAUGACACCCCUAUGGGGCGUAAACACCUUUUAUGAGAGAAGAAGUCCCUAUUCGAUAGGGUUUGACGGUACCUCAUGAAUAAGCACCGGCUAACUCCGUGCCAGCAGCCGCGGUAAUACGGAGGGUGCAAGCGUUGUCCGGAAAUCACUGGGUGUAAAGGGUGUGUAGGCGGAGCUGUAAGUCAGAGGUGAAAUCCUGCGGCUUAACCGUAGAACUGGCCUUUGAUACUGGAGCCCUUGAGUAUCGAAAGGGUGCUGGAAUCGGGGUGAAACGGGAAAAGCGUAAUUUCACGAGGAAACCCCAAGGGUGGGGGGACCUGGAGAUUACUGAGCUUAGGCACAAACCGUGGGGAGCCACCCGAUUGAUACUUGGAGUCCGCCGUAACGAUGUGGUCGU